CCUUCUUUGUUCCUCCUUGGGGCAUCUUGCACAAUGGGGGAAACCCUGAUGCAGCGACGCCGCGUGAGCGAAGAAGUAUUUCGGUAUGUAAAGCUCUAUCAGCAGGGAAGAAAAUGACGGUACCUGAGUAAGAAGCUCCGGCUAAAUACGUGCCAGCAGCCGCGGUAAUACGUAUGGAGCAAGCGUUAUCCGGAUUUACUGGGCGUAAAGGGAGCGUAGGCGGCCUGCCAAGUCUGAUGUGAAAUACCGGGGCUCAACCCCGGGGCUGCAUUGGAAACUGGCAGGCUGGAGUGCCGGAGAGGCAGGCGGAAUUCCUAGUGUAGCGGUGAAAUGCGUAGAUAUUAGGAGGAACACCAGUGGCGAAGGCGGCCUGCUGGACGGUGACUGACGCUGAGGCUCGAAAGCGUGGGGAGCAAACAGGAUUAGAUACCCCUGUAGUC
rnacentral:rRNA from 1 species